ensembl:snoRNA Small nucleolar RNA SNORD35
UGCAAAUGAUGUUUUUUCUCACGAUGGUCUUCCAAGUCCUCUGGGCUCUGACGACAAUGCCUAAUGGCAAUACUGAUGUGGUUGA